UAUGUGAUCGUCUCUCGCAUAUCAAUAAGCGGAGGAAAAGAAACUAACAAGGAUUCCCCUAGUAACGGCGAGUGAAGCGGGAAGAGCUCAAAUUUGAAAUCUUAAAGGGUUUCCCUUUACGAAUUGUAGUUUAAAGAAGUGUUUUCUGUUGAGGUUUUGGUAAAAGUUCUUUGGAAUAGGACAUCAUAGAGGGUGAGAAUCCCGUAUUUGACCCUUACUUUCAACUUUGUGAUACACUUUCAAAGAGUCGGAUUGUUUGGGAAUGCAGUCCAAAAUGGGUGGUAAAUUUCAUCUAAAGCUAAAUAUUGGCGAGAGACCGAUAGCGAACAAGUACCGUGAGGGAAAGAUGAAAAGAACUUUGAAAAGAGAGUUAAACAGUACGUGAAAUUGUCAAAAGGGAAGCGUUUGACACCAGUGUUGUUUUUCUGAAAAUCAAUUAAAGAACUGUUUAUGCUAAGUUGUUUAGACUUUAUCAGCUAUCUGCUUAGUUUUGAGCUUUUCUUUAAUGCACUUUUCAGUUAACAAGUCAACAUCAAUUUCUUUUGCUGUAAAAAAGCUUGAGGAAGGUGGCUUGAGAUUCGUCUUAAGUGUUUAUAGCCUCUUGCCUAUGCAGUCGGAGAGAUUGAGGUCUGCAGCGUAGAUCCUUCGGGGCUAAAUGCAUUUGUGCUAAGUUAUAGGCAUUUUAUAGACAACUUGUUGACUAUGAUUUGUCUUGUAGCUUACUCGCUUAUGUUAUUUUACCUACGCUUAGGAUGUUGAGUCGUAGAGCACGCAG
rnacentral:rRNA from 1 species